rnacentral:sRNA from 1 species
AACAAGUCUCAGGCCCUAGAGUCAGGGCAAAAGGUGAGGUGGUGAAGUAGCCUGGGCCUGGGAACUGCUGGCCCUAAGAACCUUCUAUUCUCAUCCAUGGAUUGGGCCCACUACUCAGAGCAGCUCCUGAGGCAGGUAAAUGGGGCAAGGACUCACGCCAAAUACCACACACGUAUGUCAAACACCCGAGGUCGGAUUCUGGGGCCCCUGCCCUCAGGAGGCUGUCAGACUCUUCCCCCUAAACACACUUCUGAAGGUUGUAGGGACCUUGCCCCACUGUCUGCGGACCAGAGCCUCUCCCAUCUGACCCAGGCCAGGUGUUCCCACCUCUCCUCCUUGGGAAGUUCCAGUGGGUUCUGGAGGGAGGGUGGGCUGUGUGCAGCUCCGUCUUUUGCUGGCCCUCCUCCUAGGCUGGUGUGGUUUUUUUCUUUUCUCAGGUGAUAUAUCCCCUGAAGGAGGUCUACCCCGACUCAGGUGAGCUGGUCCUCCUUAGGUCACGUCCUCUCCUUCUGUCGUGGUUGUCCCUGCUCUACCUGACUGUGGCCUCACCUGUGCCCUUUGGGAGAGGCUCCAGCCAGGCUGCUGAUUCAAGGAAGAGGGGCUCCUCUCCUCUUCCUUUGACUGUUUUGGGGUCUGCACCCAGAUCUUACCUCAUUCUGUCUUUCUGUCCUUAAGGAGAGACGCCCGUUGGGACAAGGAAAGUGAUGCCUUCCUUCACCUACCCCUUCCCUUAUCAAGGGCUGCAACCUGUGGUUUCAAAGCCUUCGCCCAGCAUUCUGGGGCCCCCACCCCUGCCAUCCAUGAUGUGCCCUGUCUAUUCUUUUUUUUUUUUUUUUUUUUUUUUUUUUGAGAUGGAGUUUCACUCUGUCACCCAGACUGGAGUGCAGUGGUGUGAUCUCGGCUCACUGCAACCUCCACCUCCCAGGUUCAAGGAAUUCCCCUGCCUCAGCCUCUUACGUAGCUGGGACUACAGGUGCAUGCCACCACGCCUGCCUAAUUUUUGUAUAUUUAGUAGAAACAGGGUUUCACCAUGUUGGCCAGGGUGGUCUCCAUCUCCUGACCUUGUGAUCCACCCGCCUCAGCCUCCCAAGGUGCUGGGAUUACAGGCGUGAGCCACUGUGCCUAGCCUUGCGCUGUCUAUUUUGACCAGCCAGGAGGCUCUGGCUUUUUGCAGACGGCUUCUCUGUUGUGCAGGUUCUGCUGAUGAUGAGAGGAUCUUGAGGUUCUUGGAAUUAGCAGGACUGGUAAGUGGGGGCAGGGACCCUCAGGACUCGAGCCCACCUGGGAGCACCAGCUACAGGUAGGCAGGUGCUGGCCCUGCUGUGCCUGGGCCCAGGACUGGAAGUCUGAACCUGGGGUGGAGAAUGGGAGUAUCAGUUGACAGUGUGUGCUGUUGGCCAGGUUUAGGCACGAAGGGGGUAGUGCUCUCAUUGGAGAAUUUUAAAAUAAAAAUAGGAUUGAUGAAGGCAGUUUGCUUUUUACUGUCACCAUGCUCCAGCAAGUCUAAACAGUGUCAUUGGUAGAAUAUUCCUCUCUGCCUGGGGCAGACUGUCCCACACAGUCCCCCACCUUGGUAUGCCACUGGGGCAUAUAUUUGUCUUAGAGGUUUGUGUGUGUGCUGGGGAGUGAGGGAGGUUCCCCGUGAUGGCAGGUAGCAGGGCUGGCCAUUUCAUGGACAUCGUGCCCUCUGGGUCUGUUACAGUCCAACUUGGUGGCAAGGACAGAGGGUCUGGACCAGCAGGUGGACUGGAACUGGUAUGAUGUUCUUUCCCCGGGGGAGAUGCAACGGCUCUCCUUUGCCCGACUCUUCUACCUGCAGCCGAAGUACGCA